AUCACCAACAUGAUCAUGAUCACCAACACGGUCACGAUCACGAUCACCAACAUGGUCACGAUCACGAUCACCAUCAUGGUCACGAUCACGAUCACCAACAUGGUCACGAUCACGAUCACCAACAUGGUCACGAUCACAAUCACCAACAUGGUCACGAUCAUGAUCACCAACAUGAUCAUGAUCACCAACAUGAUCAUGAUCACCAACACGGUCACGAUCAUGAUCACCAACAUGGACACAAAGGGCAAGGUUGUGA
rnacentral:lncRNA from 1 species